rnacentral:lncRNA from 1 species
CAUUUUACCACCGGAUGUCACGUGACUGGGAAGAUCAUUUGGAGACGUUCAAAGGUGAAAAUGACCACCGAGAUGGGUAGAGCGGGCCUCAAGAUGAGAGACUGACUGGCCCAGCUUUUCUUCACUGAGACCUCUCCCAAUUAAGUGUGAUGGUGUUGCAGCAAUCUGUUAACUGCCCCAGCGAUAAUGUGUAAGUAAAAUCAAUCUACCACCUGCUGUUCAACUUGCAUUUGUGGGAGUCACAGUUUAAACACAACUCCUUGUUACUAUGGGGACUUGGAUGAUAAAAAUACUAACAGACAUAAGCUUUAAAAUGGCCUUCCUGUCAAGUUACAUCCAGUCUGCAUCAUGAAUGGGCUAGAGAGCAGUGAGCAAAGCCCCCCUGCUCCUUAAGAAUAUGGAGGACUGGGGCAGGAGGUUUAGCUCAGUGGCACCAGCGCCUGCCUGGCAAGCACAAGGUCCUGAGUUUGAUCUCCAGUACUAACAAAUAUAUAAAGAAAGAAAGAAUACAGAGCACUGCUCCAAGGCCUGGACCAUGGGAGAUACGAGAGGCAAAGAGGAAGAACUGGUCUUGGAGUUGUGUCCCCAGCAAAGCAGAAUUAAAGAAUUUGCACAAGAUACUGAGGAGAAUGUACAUUGACUCCCUCAGGAUGGAAAAAUUUAUGGAGACAGAAAAAAUGCAAUUUCCAGAUGGUCUUGACUUAUAA